AUGACGGCUGCCAUCCGGGAUCUCACCCAGGCGGUCACGGGCAUCUACACGUUCCUCGCGAGAUCCUAUGGGCCGCAGCCGCCUGUGCCCUUCGCCACCGCCCCGCCGUCGCAGCAGCCGCCGUGGCGGCCGCCGUCCUCGGCGACCCCCGUCGCCGCCGCCAUGCAGCAGCUGGCGUGGCAGCCGCCACCAGCGACGAACCCUGGCGCCUCCACCAUGCAGCAGGGGCAACAGCUGCAGCCGCCGCCACCGACGACUGCGGCCCUGGGCAUCCCGACGACGGGCCCGAGGGUGCCCAUCCACCAGGUCCGGUUUCCCCCGUCGCCGUCGCCGUUACCGGCCUGGCUCGCUGGGUCCCUUGAGCCGGUCUACACGACGGCCUCGGUCGGGCCGCACGUGCUGCCCCCGCCGGCGAUGCACCCGGCCAUGCAGUUUGGUGGGUCCUCGGGCUACGCCGAGCCCUUCUCUCUGUAG
rnacentral:rRNA from 1 species